GAUAGGUCUCUGUCGCUAGCGUGAUUGGACACUGACAGAGAGUCAACUAGCCUUGUUCGCGCGGUUCUUGGCGGGCGGGAACCGAAGACGGUCCGAGCCACGAGGGGGGAGGCUCGGACCGUCGUGC
rnacentral:ncRNA from 1 species